rnacentral:rRNA from 2 species
UGAUGCAGCAACGCCGUGUGAGUGAUGAAGGCCUUCGGGUCGUAAAACUCUGUCCUAUGGGAAGAAAACAAUGACGGUACCAUAGGAGGAAGCCCCGGCUAACUACGUGCCAGCAGCCGCGGUAAUACGUAGGGGGCAAGCGUUAUCCGGAAUCACUGGGCGUAAAGGGUGCGUAGGUGGCUGAUCAAGCCAGGGGUGAAAGGCAUUGGCUCAACCAAUGUAAGCCUUUGGAACUGAUCGGCUUGAGUGCAGGAGAGGUAAGUGGAAUUCCUAGUGUAGAGGUGAAAUUCGUAGAUAUUAGGAGGAACACCAGUGGCGAAGGCGACUUACUGGACUGUAACUGACACUGAGGCACGAAAGCGUGGGGAGCGAACAGGAUUAGAUACCCUGGUAG